GAGUAACACGUGAGUAACCUGCCCUUAACUCUGGGAUAAGCCUGGGAAACUGGGUCUAAUACCGGAUAGGAGCGUCCACCGCAUGGUGGGUGUUGGAAAGAUUUAUCGGUUUUGGAUGGACUCGCGGCCUAUCAGCUUGUUGGUGAGGUAAUGGCUCACCAAGGCGACGACGGGUAGCCGGCCUGAGAGGGUGACCGGCCACACUGGGACUGAGACACGGCCCAGACUCCUACGGGAGGCAGCAGUGGGGAAUAUUGCACAAUGGGCGCAAGCCUGAUGCAGCGACGCCGCGUGAGGGAUGACGGCCUUCGGGUUGUAAACCUCUUUCAGUAGGGAAGAAGCGAAAGUGACGGUACCUGCAGAAGAAGCACCGGCUAACUACGUGCCAGCAGCCGCGGUAAUACGUAGGGUGCGAGCGUUAUCCGGAAUUAUUGGGCGUAAAGAGCUCGUAGGCGGUUUGUCGCGUCUGUCGUGAAAGUCCGGGGCUUAACCCCGGAUCUGCGGUGGGUACGGGCAGACUAGAGUGCAGUAGGGGAGACUGGAAUUCCUGGUGUAGCGGUGGAAUGCGCAGAUAUCAGGAGGAACACCGAUGGCGAAGGCAGGUCUCUGGGCUGUAACUGACGCUGAGGAGCGAAAGCAUGGGGAGCGAACAGGAUUAGAUACCCUGGUAGUCCAUGCCGUAAACGUUGGGCACUAGGUGUGGGGACCAUUCCACGGUUUCCGCGCCGCAGCUAACGCAUUAAGUGCCCCGCCUGGGGAGUACGGCCGCAAGGCUAAAACUCAAAGGAAUUGACGGGGGCCCGCACAAGCGGCGGAGCAUGCGGAUUAAUUCGAUGCAACGCGAAGAACCUUACCAAGGCUUGACAUGUUCUCGAUCGCCGUAGAGAUACGGUUUCCCCUUUGGGGCGGGUUCACAGGUGGUGCAUGGUUGUCGUCAGCUCGUGUCGUGAGAUGUUGGGUUAAGUCCCGCAACGAGCGCAACCCUCGUUCCAUGUUGCCAGCACGUCGUGGUGGGGACUCAUGGGAGACUGCCGGGGUCAACUCGGAGGAAGGUGAGGACGACGUCAAAUCAUCAUGCCCCUUAUGUCUUGGGCUUCACGCAUGCUACAAUGGCCGGUACAAUGGGUUGCGAUACUGUGAGGUGGAGCUAAUCCCAAAAAGCCGGUCUCAGUUCGGAUUGGGGUCUGCAACUCGACCCCAUGAAGU
rnacentral:rRNA from 1 species